rnacentral:rRNA from 1 species
GACGAACGCUGGCGGCGUGCUUAACACAUGCAAGUCGAACGGUAAGGCUCCAGCUUGCUGGGGUACACGAGUGGCGAACGGGUGAGUAACACGUGGGUGACCUGCCCUGCACUUCGGGAUAAGCCUGGGAAACUGGGUCUAAUACCUGAUAGGACCAUGGUGUGGAUACUGUGGUGGAAAGUUUUUUCGGUGUGGGAUGGGCCCGCGGCCUAUCAGCUUGUUGGUGGGGUAAUGGCCUACCAAGGCGGCGACGGGUAGCCGGCCUGAGAGGGUGGACGGCCACAUUGGGACUGAGACACGGCCCAGACUCCUACGGGAGGCAGCAGUGGGGAAUAUUGCACAAUGGGCGGAAGCCUGAUGCAGCGACGCCGCGUGGGGGAUGACGGCCUUCGGGUUGUAAACUCCUUUCACCAUCGACGAAGGGUUUCUGACGGUAGAUGGAGAAGAAGCACCGGCUAACUACGUG